GAUGAACGCUGGCGGCGUGCCUAAUACAUGCAAGUCGAGCGAACGGACGAGAAGCUUGCUUCUCUGAUGUUAGCGGCGGAUGGGUGAGUAACACGUGGAUAACCUACCUAUAAGACUGGGAUAACUUCGGGAAACCGGAGCUAAUACCGGAUAAUAUUUUGAACCGCAUGGUUCAAAAGUGAAAGACGGUCUUGCUGUCACUUAUAGAUGGAUCCGCGCUGCAUUAGCUAGUUGGUAAGGUAACGGCUUACCAAGGCAACGAUGCAUAGCCGACCUGAGAGGGUGAUCGGCCACACUGGAACUGAGACACGGUCCAGACUCCUACGGGAGGCAGCAGUAGGGAAUCUUCCGCAAUGGGCGAAAGCCUGACGGAGCAACGCCGCGUGAGCGAUGAAGGUCUUCGGAUCGUAAAACUCUGUUAUUAGGGAAGAACAUAUGUGUAAGUAACUGUGCACAUCUUGACGGUACCUAAUCAGAAAGCCACGGCUAACUACGUG
rnacentral:rRNA from 1 species